UUCCGGUUGAUCCUGCCAGAGGUUACUGCUAUCGGUGUUCGCCUAAGCCAUGCGAGUCAUAUGUUCUUCGUGAACAUGGCGUACUGCUCAGUAACACGUGGAUAACCUGCCCUUGGGUCCGGCAUAACCCCGGGAAACUGGGGAUAAUUCCGGAUAACGCAAAUAUGCUGGAAUGCUUUCUGCGUAAAAUGGAUUCGUCUGCCCAAGGAUGGGUCUGCGGCCUAUCAGGUAGUAGUGGGUGUAAUGUACCUACUAGCCGACGACGGGUACGGGUUGCGAGAGCAAGAGCCCGGUGAUGGAUUCUGAGACAUGAAUCCAGGCCCUACGGGGCGCAGCAGGCGCGAAAACUUUACAAUGCGGGAAACCGUGAUAAGGGGACACCGAGUGCCAGCAUCAUAUGCUGGCUGUCCGGGUGUGUAAAAUACACCCGUUAGCAAGGGCCGGGCAAGACCGGUGCCAGCCGCCGCGGUAACACCGGCGGCCCGAGUGGUGAUCGUGAUUAUUGGGUCUAAAGGGUCCGUAGCCGGUUUGGUCAGUCCUCCGGGAAAUCUGAUAGCUCAACUAUUAGGCUUUCGGGGGAUACUGCCAGGCUUGGAACCGGGAGAGGUAAGAGGUACUACAGGGGUAGGAGUGAAAUCUUGUAAUCCCUGUGGGACCACCUGUGGCGAAGGCGUCUUACCAGAACGGGUUCGACGGUGAGGGACGAAAGCUGGGGGCACGAACCGGAUUAGAUACCCGGGUAGUCCCAGCCGUAAACGAUGCUCGCUAGGUGUCAGGCAUGGCGCGACCGUGUCUGGUGCCGCAGGGAAGCCGUGAAGCGAGCCACCUGGGAAGUACGGCCGCAAGGCUGAAACUUAAAGGAAUUGGCGGGA
rnacentral:rRNA from 1 species